GAAAUAUCAACAACGUAAUAACAUCAUGCAUCGCUUUUUACAGAAGCAGAUGAAGAAGCGCAAAGCACAGGGAAUACGCGGUUCGUUUCUCUUUUACGGUUCACGUUUCGUUUAGAUUCGUUUAGAACCAGUAGCAGCCCGGAAUUCACCUGGAAGCGCACCGAUUGCUCGAUGAAACGCGAAGAAAAAGAUCCUCCAUAGCAACAGCACAUGGGCAGAAGCAGAAAAAUAAAUGUCGUAUUGUUUCGAAUUAAAUCUCUGUUUGUUGAAAAUGGAACGAACAGCGAAAAACAAGAGAUCAAUUAGCGCUUACCUUUGUGAGUGAGUAGAUGAGUACAAACGAAUACAAACUGUAACCAAUAAAGGAAAUAAGUAAAAAGAAGACACGAGAG